GAAUAGUUUUAGUGCAACAACU
rnacentral:miRNA from 1 species